rnacentral:misc_RNA from 1 species
UUUCUGUGAUCCUCAGGAUGAAGCAAAGUUGCUCCAUUGUGAUAUGGUGCUGCUUGACGAAGAGGGAAACGGUAUCCAUGCUGCAAUAUUCCCACCAGUCAUACAAAAGUUCAAGCCACUGAUAAAAGAAGGAGUCGUCUACAACAUCACAUACUUCCGGGUCAGAGCCUCGAACAAUUUGUACAAGCCUGUUUUCAAUGAGAACAUGAUUACCUUUACAAACUGGACAAAAUUGGAGGAGGUUGUUGAGGUUCCGCCAGCAUUUCCUGUGCUUACCUACUCACUCACACCGAUAGACCAGCUCCAUUUGUGAGUC